UUCUUAUUAGAUGAUGGUUGUCACAUGUCAUAUUCUGAUUGGUCAAUGACAACAACAAUGCAUGUCAUCUUUCAUGGAGUUGACAUCCAAUCAGAACAUGACACGUGACAGUCAUCAUCC
rnacentral:pre_miRNA from 1 species